AACGAACGCUGGCGGCAUGCCUAACACAUGCAAGUCGAACGAGACCUUCGGGUCUAGUGGCGCACGGGUUCGUAACGCGUGGGAACCUGCCCUUAGGUUCGGAAUAACUCCCCGAAAGGGGUGCUAAUACCGGAUAAUGUCUUCGGACCAAAGAUUUAUCGCCUUUGGAUGGGCCCGCGUUGGAUUAGCUGGUUGGUAGGGUAAAAGCCUACCAAGGCGACGAUCCAUAACUGGUCUGAGAGGAUGAUCAGCCACACUGGGACUGAGACACGGCCCAGACUCCUACGGGAGGCAGCAGUGGGUAAUAUUGGACAAUGGGCGAAAUCCUGAUGCAGCAAUGCCGCGUGAGUGAUGAAGGCCUUAGGGUUGUAAAGCUCUUUUACCCGGGAUGAUAAUGACAGUACCGGGAGAAUAAGCUCCGGCUAACUCCGUG
rnacentral:rRNA from 1 species